AGUUGAAUACAGGGACUGGCAGCACCAGGAGCAGCGCCUGGGAAGGGGUCCCUCAGGGCUCUGGGCGGCCUGAACCACACAAGGCACGAGUAACGAGGUCGGGAGCAGCUGAGAACCGCAAGCUGGCUGCAGCCGCCCUGGGGAGGCUGUGGAGAUGGGAACGCACGCAGGAGUCCGUCUCUGCACAUCUGCUCCACUUCUCUCUCACGUCGGCUCUUCCUCCGCUCAGCCCACAGGGAGGGCAACACCUUCCCUCUGCUCUUCAUUGCAGAUCCAACCGCCUGGCUUCUCUCUCCCCCUCCCUGUCUCCCCCGAGUUCCAGAACAAAGGGUGAGGGCUACAGAUUUGGUCAGACUUGGAGGGGUCAGGGGCACAGGGCCUCGCGGGCGUUUGCUGAGGGUCAGACUGACUGGCGGGUUGUCAACAGGUGGUAUCUUACCGCAGCGCCUUGUGUAUACACAAGAUAAAAAAUCAGACAUCGGUGUCGAUUUGGGGAGCCUAGGAAGCUCCAAAGAGAGCCGCGCUCCACCCAGACUUGCCAAGGGCCCCUCCCUGAGCCCAGCACUGCGGGCAGCAGAGGCCAUGUCCACACGCACGGCUUUCGGGAAGGCCCUGUGCCCGGGACGAAAGGGCAGGUGAGGGCAAGAGUGAGAGCUGCCGAGGCCUCCCAAAAGAAGGUACUGCCCAGCUUCCUCCCACGCGAGAUCCGCGCGCCUCGCACUCACACCCUCGCUCGAGCACAGGAGGUCCCCACAAGCUUUCCCCAGUCCUCAAACGGAUGGCCCUGCCCACGCAGGCGCUGCAGGUGCAUACCUGGCCCACCUACAACGACGCUGCACUUGGAGACACGUCCACCAGAGGGCACUCUAGCGCCUCCGAAUCCGGGCUCCGGACCGCGCAGGGGGCCCCCCAGGUUAGCUGCAGAUUUAUUUGAAAGGUGCAUUAGCAGGAAGCCAGAUCAGAAGUGGAGCUGCUGGGACUCCAAGAGGUACCAACUCUUAACAGCAGAAUUUAAACACAAAAAGGUAUUUCAAGGCCGGCGCCAUGGCUCACUAGGCUAAUCCCCGCCUGCGGCGCCAGCACUCCGGGUUCGUGUCUGGAUAGGGGUGCCGGUUCUGUCCUGGUUGCUCCUCUUCCAGUCCAGCUCUCUGCUAUGGCCUGGGAAAGCAGUAGAAGAUGGCCCAAGUCCUUGGGCCCUUGCACCAGCAUGGGAGACCCAGAAGAAGCUCCUGGUUCCUGGCUUCGGAUCUGCACAGCUCUGGCCAUUGCGGGCAAUUGGAGAGUGAACCAUCAGAUGGAAGACCUCUCUCUCUCUCGGCCUCUCCUCUCUCUGUGAAACUCUGACUUUCAAAUAAAUAAAUAAAUCUUUAAAAAGAAAAUGCUCA
rnacentral:lncRNA from 1 species